GCCCUGGUAGAUCAGUGGGAAGAUCCUCCGCUAACAAUGCUGCAAAUGACCGACGGUUUUUAAGCGGACGACGCGGGUUUGAAUCCCGGCCCGGGCG